rnacentral:rRNA from 1 species
AUUGAACGCUGGCGGCAAGCCUCAUACAUGCAAGUCGAGCGAGAACGUUACUUCGGUAGCUAGUAAAGCGGCGGACGGGUGAGUAACGCGUAGGAAUCUACCUUUCAGCGGGGGAUAGCUCGGGGAAACCCGAAUUAAUACCGCAUACACCCUAAGGGGGAAAGAGGGCCUAUCCUUGGAAGCUCUCGCUGUUAGAUGAGCCUGCGUGAGAUUAGUUUGUUGGUGGGGUAAUGGCCUACCAAGACUACGAUCUCUAGCUGGUCUGAGAGGACGAUCAGCCACACUGGGACUGAGACACGGCCCAGACUCCUACGGGAGGCAGCAGUAGGGAAUAUUGGACAAUGGGGGCAACCCUGAUCCAGCUAUGCCGCGUGUGUGAAGAAGGCUCUAGGGUUGUAAAGCACUUUAGGUAAGGACGAAAAGAAUAUAGUUAAUACCUAUAUUCCGUGACUUAACUUACAGAAUAAGGACCGGCUAACUCCG